GUGCUGAGAGUACAGAUGUGAACCACUGCACCUGGUCUGAAAUCUACAUUUUUAACCAGCAGACCAGUUCAUUCUGACAUGCUCGAGUUUGAGAACCACUGACCAGGCGAUUCUGUAUACAAAGCCCACCCACAGUAUUUGGUGCCAGCAUGACUGACUCUUUCAGAAGCGAAUUCAUCUGACAAGUCCUGACCCCCAUGUCUGGGCCCAGCACUAUGCCAGGAGGCCCUUCCAGCUACACCACAUCGCAUCAAAACCCGUCUGUCUAGUUCAUAUUCCAUGGUGACUGUUGGUUCACCCACAGUCCUACUCAGAGUUCUGAGUCAGCCUCAGAAACACUGGGAGCUCUGGGCCACCUCUUAUCAGAACAUGAGUCAGAGCUGUAAUCUCUGCUUCCCAUUCCUGUGCUAUGCUGCUGAUGUGGUACUGGAUUCCUUCCUAGUCAAUCAACACAGACCUUCAUUUCUAUAGAGUUCUCUCACCCCCAAGUAAAUAGACUAAUUUCUUUCUGGUUGAUUUAGGUAUUAAAAUUAAAGAUGUAAAAAUACUUAUUUACUUAGGUAAUGAUGAAUGAGUGCCUUGCAGGAGUAAUGAUUAAUCACGCUCCACCUGGAAACCAGUGCCAAAACAACUCUGCUAAUAGAAUCCAUCAACUGCUGAAAUAAGUGAUUGCACUGAAGCCUGCUUUAUUAUGAACACCUGAGGGACAGAUGUGUCUAAGACUAUACAGCUAAGAAGUGAUUGGACUAAAAUACAAGCAUAAACAUCCUGAACUGUAAG